rnacentral:rRNA from 1 species
GACGAACGCUGGCGGCGUGCCUAAUACAUGCAAGUCGAACGCAGUGGGGACGGGUGAGUAACACGUGGGUAACCUCCCAUCAGAGGGGAUAACACUUGGAAACAGGUGCUAAACCGAUACUGAUGGAUGGACGCGCGGUGGAUUAGCUAGUUGGUGAGGUAACGGCUCACCAAGGCCACGAUGCAUAGCCGAUCUGAGAGGAUGAUCGGUCACACGGGGACUGAGACACGGCCCAGACGCCUACGGGAGGCAGCAGUAGGGAAUCUUCGGCAAUGGACGAAAGUCUGACCGAGCCAUGCCGCGUGAGUGAAGAAGGUUUUCGGAUCGUAAAACUCUGUUGUUAGAGAAGCGGUAUCUAAACAGAAAGCAACGGCUAACUACGUGCCAGCAGCCGCGGUAAUUC